CCUACGGGAGGCAGCAGUGAGGAAUAUUGGUCAAUGGACGAGAGUCUGAACCAGCCAAGUAGCGUGAAGGAUGACUGCCCUAUGGGUUGUAAACUUCUUUUAUAUGGGAAUAAAACGCGGCACGUGUGCCUUUGUGCAUGUACUUUAUGAAUAAGGAUCGGCUAACUCCGUGCCAGCAGCCGCGGUAAUACGGAGGAUCCGAGCGUUAUCCGGAUUUAUUGUGUUUAAAGGGAGCGUAGAUGGGUUGUUAAGUCAGUUGUGAAAGUUUGCGGCUCAACCGUAAAAUUGCAAUUGAUACUGGCAGUCUUGAGUACAGUUGAGGUAGGCGGAAUUCGUGGUGUAGCGGUGAAAUGCUUAGAUAUCACGAAGAACCCCGAUUGCGAAGGCAGCUUACUAAACUGUGACUGACAUUGAUGCUCGAAAGUGUGGGUAUCAAACAGGAUUAGAUACCCGUGUAGUC
rnacentral:rRNA from 1 species